CAACUAUCAACAACGGAUCUCUUGGCAUCCCACUCGAUGAAGAACGCACGAAUUGCGAUAAGUAAUGUGAAUUGCAGAAUUCAGUGAAUCAUCGAAUCUUUGGAACGCACCUUGCACCUUUUGGUAUUCCGAAGGUAUGCCCGGUUGAGUAUUAUG
rnacentral:rRNA from 1 species